UUCCAUAGGUGUUGAAGGCUGUGUGGGU
rnacentral:piRNA from 1 species